CAAUUUAUAUUUUUUUUAUAAAAAAUAAUAUCAAAAGUAAAAAAAGAAUAUGUUUUAAAUAUUUUUUGCUGAAAUAAUGAACCUUCAAUAACUAUUUAAAUAGCCUAUGACAAUUCAAUUUUACAGAAUAAACUAUAUAAAUUGAAUUGAAUAAUACAAUUAAAAAUGUCAAUAAUAGACUUAAAAAAAGUUCAAAAUUAAAA
rnacentral:lncRNA from 1 species